AGUGAACGCUGGCGGUAUGCCUAACACAUGCAAGUCGAACGGCAGCACAGUAAGAGCUUGCUCUUACGGGUGGCGAGUGGCGGACGGGUGAGGAAUACAUCGGAAUCUACUUUUUCGUGGGGGAUAACGUAGGGAAACUUACGCUAAUACCGCAUACGACCUACGGGUGAAAGCAUGGGAUCUUCGGACCUUGCGCGAUUGAAUGAGCCGAUGUCGGAUUAGCUAGUUGGCGGGGUAAAGGCCCACCAAGGCGACGAUCCGUAGCUGGUCUGAGAGGAUGAUCAGCGACACUGGAACUGAGACACGGUCCAGACUACUACGGGAGGCAGCAGUGGGGAAUAUUGGACAAUGGGCGCAAGCCUGAUCCAGCCAUACCGCGUGGGUGAAGAAGGACUUCGGGUUGUAGAGCCCUUUUGUUGGGAAAGAAAAGCAGCAGGUUAAUACCCCGCUGUUCUGACGGUACCCAAAGAAUAAGCACCGGCUAACUUCGUG
rnacentral:rRNA from 1 species